rnacentral:rRNA from 1 species
CAACUCUCAACAACGGAUAUCUUGGCUCCCGUAACGAUGAAGAACGCAGCGAAAUGCGAUACGUAGUGUGAAUUGCAGAAUUCCGUGAACCAUCGAUCUUUGAACGCAAAUUGCGCUCGAGGCUUCGGCCAAGAGCAUGUCUGCCUCAGCGUCGGCUACUACCCUCAA